AUUGAACGCUGGCGGCAUGCCUUACACAUGCAAGUCGAACGGGGUUUUCGGACCUAGCGGCGGACGGGUGAGUAAUGCGUAGGAAGCUACCCGAUAGAGGGGGAUACCAGUUGGAAACGACUGUUAAUACCGCAUAAUGUCUACGGACCAAAGUGUGGGACCUUCGGGUCCGACAUGCUAUCGGAUGCGCCUACGUGGGAUUAGCUAGUUGGUGGGGUAAGUGGCUCACCAAGGCGACGAUCCCUAGCUGGUUUGUAGAGGAUGAUCAGCCACACUGGAACUGAGACACGGUCC
rnacentral:rRNA from 1 species